rnacentral:rRNA from 1 species
UACGGGGGGGGCAAGCGUUGUCCGGAUUUAUUGGGCGUAAAGAGCGUGUAGGCGGCCAUACAGGUCCGUUGUGAAAACUCGAGGCUCAACCUCGAGACGUCGAUGGAAACCGUAUGGCUAGAGUCCGGAAGAGGAGAGUGGAAUUCCUGGUGUAGCGGUGAAAUGCGCAGAUAUCAGGAAGAACACCCGUGGCGAAGGCGGCUCUCUGGGACGGUACUGACGCUGAGACGCGAAAGCGUGGGGAGCGAACAGG